CACACACUAUCUGCCUAGCAGAGGCCACUCACACACACACUAUCUGCCUAGCAGAGGCUUGGAUCCCAGAGAGUUCCCCUGUCUUCUGUCUGGUACACUUGGAGGGAAGAUCGCCUGAGCUGCUGCUGAGGACUCUGCAUGGCCUUCUCACAUCCAGACCUCAAGUCCAGGCAUGAAGGUUGAGCAGGGGGCCACUGGGAGUGUCCCAGCGGCUGGAAGGCACCUCCAGCUGCAGAUUCAUCGAUGCUGGGCAUAACCUGGUUAAUCUCCCAUCCCAUCCAUUCCAGGUUAUUGAAAUGACAGACCCCCAAGAAAACGGGAUUCUCCCGGGAAUUUCACACUAGGAGAAGAGAAGCCACAAGCCUAGGCCAGUCGGGGACAGGACACUUCUCCUGGGGAGAGCCUAGGACCUCGGUCGAUCACCUGACAGGAGAGGCUGGACGGGACCACACCUUGACCUUGGCCUGCUGAGCUCUGCAUAACUCUGGGCCUCUGGUGACUCCUCUGUCUCAUUUCAGGACUCACAUGGACUUGGGGUGGGGGGAGGGGGAGUCACACGAGCUCUGUCCAUUUUCUCAAUGUCGCUACAUCGAGUAAACCUCCUUUCCCUGCUUUUUACUGUCA